rnacentral:rRNA from 1 species
GAAAUCCGGAUUAAUACCCCAUGGUACUGUAAUGUAGCAUUACAUAAUAGUUAAAGAUUUAUUAGGUAAAAGAUGGGCAUGCGUGACAUUAGUUAGUUGGUAAGGUAACGGCUUACCAAGACGAUGAUGUCUAGGGGUUCUGAGAGGAAGGUCCCCCACACUGGUACUGAGACACGGACCAGACUCCUACGGGAGGCAGCAGUAGGGAAUAUUGGUCAAUGGACGCAAGUCUGAACCAGCCAUGCCGCGUGCAGGAUGACAGCUUUCUGAGUUGUAAACUGCUUUUAUAUAGGAACAAAGAGGCCAUGCGUGGCAAGUUGCGUGUACUAUAUGAAUAAGCACCGGCUAACUCCGUGCCAGCAGCCGCGGUAAUACGGAGGGUGCAAGCGUUGUCCGGAUUUAUUGGGUUUAAAGGGUGCGUAGGUGGCGUGUUAAGUCAGUGGUGAAAGCCUGCAGCUCAACUGUAGAGGUGCCAUUGAUACUGACAUGCUUGAGUAUGGACGAGGUAGGCGGAAUU